AGUGAACGCUGGCGGUAGGCCUAACACAUGCAAGUCGAACGGCAGCACAGUAAGAGCUUGCUCUUACGGGUGGCGAGUGGCGGACGGGUGAGGAAUACAUCGGAAUCUACUUUUUCGUGGGGGAUAACGUAGGGAAACUUACGCUAAUACCGCAUAUGACCUACGGGUGAAAGCAGGGGAUCUUCGGACCUUGCGCGAUUGAAUGAGCCGAUGUCGGAUUAGCUAGUUGGCGGGGUAAAGGCCCACCAAGGCGACGAUCCGUAGCUGGUCUGAGAGGAUGAUCGGCCACACUGGAACUGAGACACGGUCCAGACUCCUACGGGAGGCAGCAGUGGGGAAUAUUGGACAAUGGGCGCAAGCCUGACCCAGCCAUACCGCGUGGGUGAAGAAGGCCUUCGGGUUGUAAAGCCCUUUUGUUGGGAAAGAAAAGCAGCAGGUUAAUACCCCGCUGUUCUGACGGUACCCAAAGAAUAAGCACCGGCUAACUUCGUG
rnacentral:rRNA from 1 species